rnacentral:rRNA from 1 species
CGCGUAGGCGGUUAAAUAAGUCAGAUGUGAAAGCCCCGGGCUCAACCUGGGAACUGCAUUUGAAACUGUUUAGCUAGAGUGUGGUAGAGGAGAGUGGAAUUUCAGGUGUAGCGGUGAAAUGCGUAGAUAUCUGAAGGAACAUCAGUGGCGAAGGCGGCUCUCUGGACUGUUACUGACGCUGAGGUGCGAAAGCUAGGGGAGCGAACG